GUCUAAGGCCAUGACACCCUAAACGUGCCUGGUCUCGUCUGAUCUCGGAAGCUAAGCAGGGUCAGGCCUGGUUAGUACUAGGAUGGGAGACUACCUAGGAAGACCAGGUGCUGUAGGCA
rnacentral:rRNA from 1 species